rnacentral:rRNA from 1 species
UCGAGGGGCAGCGCAGGUAGCAAUACCUGGGCGGCGUACCGGCAAACGGGUGCGGAACACGUACACAACCUUCCUACAAGUGGGGAAUAGCCCAGUAGAAAUUUGGAUUAAUACCCCGUAACAUAACGAUGUGGCAUCACAUUGUUAUUAUAGCUUCGGCGCUUGUUGAUGGGUGUGCGGCUGAUUAGAUAGUUGGCGGGGUAACGGCCCACCAAGUCUACGGUCAGUAGCUGAUGUGAGAGCAUGAUCAGCCACACGGGCACU